rnacentral:rRNA from 1 species
UACGGAGGGUGCGAGCGUUGUCCGGAAUCAUUGGGCGUAAAGGGCGCGUAGGUGGCCCGGUCAGCGUGCGGUGAAAGCUCGGGGCUCAACCCCGAGUCGGCCGUGCGAACUGCUGGGCUGGAGCACUGUAGAGGCAGGCGGAAUUCCGGGUGUAGCGGUGGAAUGCGUAGAGAUCCGGAAGAACACCGGUGGCGAAGGCGGCCUGCUGGGCAGUGGCUGACACUGAGGCGCGACAGUGUGGGGAGCAAACAGG